AGGAUUAGUUCACUUUUAAAAAAACUUUUGCUGAUAAUUUACUCACCCCCAUGUCAUCCAAGAUGUCCAUGUCUUUCUUUCUUCAGUCGAAAAGAAAUUAAGGUUUUUGAUGAAAACAUUCGAGGAUUUUUCUCCAUAUAAUGGACUUCCAUGGGAACCAGACGGUUCAAGGUCCAAAAGACAGUUUCAGUGCAAACUGCAAACUGUUCAAAGGGCUUUAAACGAUUCCAGACGAUGAAUAAGGGUCUUAUCAAGCGAAACGAUCGCUCAUUUAAAAAAAAAAAAAAAAAAGUUUAAGUUUUAUAAGCUCAAAUGCUCGCCUUGCUCUGUUCUGUGAUGCGCGUUCGUGACUCUCCUGUUCAAACUCGUUUAUCAAAAAGGAA